GGAUUUGUCAACAAAGGGAACAACAGUAACAUCGCCUCUGUUCGUCCGUCAUAGACCAUUUAGCGGUGGCGGAGGGGAGAAAAUCGGCCUGCAUGAUUGAAAUCAUCUCCAGAGCUGACGUGCAUUAACUCAUCCGCGCUAAACGCAAACUUAAACUUUUCUUAGGCCAAUUAUAUGAAAGCUGCUGAACGAAAACGUCUACAGCUAAAGAGCGGUCCAUUCAAUUAUCCCCGGCACAACUCUUGUCAGCAAAUGAAAGAGAUCUGCUUGUCGCGCUCAUCCAAGUUGGAUAAUUUAUAGCCUUCUGGGGUUAUAAAGAUGGGGUUUCGAGCAUUUUGAAUGGUGAAUGCUGAUUCCUACUGAAAAGAACUGAUGGGCAACAAAGUUUACUAAAGUUCAACUUGAUGGAGCUUGCAGAAACCCUGGUAAAUUCACAAUCAUCCUCAACCUAACCGCAGACUCUACUCUUCUCCACAAUGGUAACUCUACAAAACUUCUCAUUGUACACCUGACCAACUGCUCGUUACCGCAAAGUUUUAAUCAGCCAUUCACAUGGCAGCAACUCAAUGCAUUUAGGAGUGUAAACAUGGUCAAGACGAUCUGCUGCAGUUCAAACUGAGAAUCAGAAUGGGAAAGAAAGGUGAUUUACGUGACUUGGUUGUUGGUGCCAGACAGGCUGGUCUGAGUAUUUCAGAAACUACUAACGCACAACCAUCUCUAGGUUUUACAGAGUAUGGUUCGAAAAAGAGAAAGUUCUGAUAGAUAGGCAACAGUAGCUAAAUAACUUCUGUGGGCGCAAAUACAUUGCAUGUGAUGGCAGAUGUCAGAGAGAAGGGCCAGACUAGUUGAAGCAGAUAGAAAGGCAACAGUAGCUCAAAUAAGCACUCAUUACUCGUUACGUUAGAUAUGCAGAAGAGCAUCUUUGAAUGCACAACACAACCAACCUUGAGGCAGAUGGGCUACAGCAACAGAAGAUCACACUGGGUGCCACUCCAGUCAGCUAAGAACAGUAAAUUGAGGCUACAAUUCACACAGGCUGACCAAAAUUGGACAAUAGAAGAUUGGAAAAAUGUUGCCUGGUUGAAAGUUUCGAUUUCUGCUGCAAUAUUUGGAUGGUAGGGUCAGAAUUUGGCAUCAACAACAUGAAAGCAUGGAUCCAUUCUGCCUAUCAGCGGUUCAGGCUGCUGGUGGUGGGGUAAUGGUGUGGGGGAUAUAUUAUUGGCACACUUUGGGCUUAUUAGUACCAAUUGAGUGUCAUUUCAACAGCACAGUCUACCUGAGUAUUGUUGCUGACCAUGUCCAUCCCUUUAUGACCACAGUGUAAUCAUCUGCUGAUGGCUACUUCCAGCAUGAUAACAUGUCAUGUCAUAAGGCGCGAAUCAUCUUAGACUAGUUUCUUGAACAUGACAAUGAGUUCACAGUACUCAAAUGGCCUCCAUAGUUACCAGAACUCAAUCCAAUAGAGCACCUUUGGGAUGUGGUUGAACAGGAGAUUUGCAUUAUAGAGGUGCAGUCGACACAUCUGCAGCAACUGCGGGAUGCUAUCAUGUCAAUAUGGAGCAAAAUCUCUGAGGUAUAUUUUCAGUACCUUGUUAAAUUUAUGCCAUGAAGGAUUAAGGCAGUUCUGAAGGCAAAAGGGGGUCCAACCCGGUACUAGUAAGGUGUACCUAAUAAAGUGUCUGGUAAGUGUAUAUUAGUUAAGUAAAGUAAUUAAACUGAUCAGCUUUACAGAUGACAACUUUUCAACAUUGUAAAGAAACAUAAUAAAAAAAUAUUUAAUCUGCCAUUUUUUUGUAAGAAAGCCACUGAAAGUCAUUCAAGUCUAUGACAUUAGCCAAAUAACUAACGGCUAAUGCCAAUGCAGUGGCAUUUAAGGGAGGGCAAUUACAUUGUGUUUUAUUUUAGUAGAUGAUAAUUCAGUUCAAUUUACCUUUAUUUGUAUAGCGCUUUUACAAUGUAGAUUGUGUCAAAGCAGCUUCACAUAGAAGAUUAUAGUAAAUUGAAACUGUAGUUCAGUUUUUGGAGUGGAGGCAUCACUAUGCUGAUUAAAAUGUUAAGAAAUUGCUAAAUAAGGUAAACUGAUUGCCUCUUCACUAAUCGGUAACAUAUUACCUUAAAUAUGUACAAGAAAUAACUAUUGUGCAAGACAAAUGUACAGCAAAUAUGUUGUAUUUAAUAAAAGGCAUUGCAUAAUAGAGUAAUAUUGUAUAUUGUCUAAAUAGGUUUCUGUUUUCUCUACCAAUGUUGUGCCUAUGACCUUGUCCUUAUGAUAUUGAUGCAUUUAUUGUGAUGGAAAAAAUAGUAAAUAAAGUAUAUGUUUUUUUUAUUAUU
ensembl:lincRNA